rnacentral:rRNA from 1 species
UACGUAGGGCGCAAGCGUUAUCCGGAAUUAUUGGGCGUAAAGAGCUCGUAGGCGGUUUGUCGCGUCUGCCGUGAAAAUCCAGGGCUUAACCCUGGACCUGCAGUGGGUACGGGCAGACUAGAGUGCGGUAGGGGAGAUCGGAAUUCCUGGUGUAGCGGUGAAAUGCGCAGAUAUCAGGAGGAACACCGGUGGCGAAGGCGGCAUUCUGGACCGAUAUUGACGCUGAGGAGCGAAAGCCAGGGGAGCAAACGGG